rnacentral:rRNA from 1 species
GUAGGUGGCAAGCGUUGUCCGGAAUUAUUGGGCGUAAAGCGCGCGCAGGCGGUUCUUUAAGUCUGAUGUGAAAGCCCACGGCUCAACCGUGGAGGGUCAUUGGAAACUGGAGAACUUGAGUACAGAAGAGGAAAGCGGAAUUCCACGUGUAGCGGUGAAAUGCGUAGAGAUGUGGAGGAACACCAGUGGCGAAGGCGGCUUUCUGGUCUGUAACUGACGCUGAGGCGCGAAAGCGUGGGGAGCAAACAGGAUUAGAUACCCUGGUAGUCCACGCCGUAAACGACGAGUGCUAAGUGUUAGGGGGUUUCCGCCCCCUUAGUGCUGCAGCUAACGCAUUAAGCACUCCGCCUGGGGAGUACGGCCGCAAGGCUG